UCCUUCCUCCCUCUCUCUCUUCCUUCCUUCCUUCUUUUUUUCCCCUCUGUUUUUCCUCUUCAUUUCCAAACUACUCUGAAAAAUGCAGGAAUAUUGGUAGGAUGUUUUUGAAAUCUGCAUAGGAAAGGGCCAAGAUAAAACCACCAGUAUUAAUCUAGUAGGCAAUGAAAUCUAUUUCUGACGUGAUGAUUACCCUCUUGGACUAUGUGGCCAGCUCCUAGGAUUAGCCACCCAACCACAAGGGUAAUUUCACCACAGUGUGGAUUAUGGAAAGGUGGAAAGAAUUUAAUAUUUGGAUCAGACCUGAGGGAGAGAUCCAGUCAUCUGAUGGGAGAAAAGGAGAAAGCAAGCCAGAAAGGAUUAUGGAGAAGGACCAGGAUAUGAGAGAGUAUGUAUCUACUGAUCAAGAAGAGAAAAAGGAUCAAGAAAACUAAGGAAGAAAAACAAUUUCAAGAAGGAGGUAAGGAGUCUUGAAAAAACUAGAGAUAACAAUAAUAAGAAGAAAAACAAUUUUGAGAGAUCUAUUACUCAGAUCAAAGUGGGAAACAGCAGUGACUUCAAAAGAUGGAUGAUGAAACAUACCUUCCACCUCUUGACAGAGAGGCGAUGCGCUGGAGAUGUGCAAUGAGACCUGAGUACUCAGAAGUGGAUAAUGUGCUGAUUUGUUUUGUUGGACUAUAUAUGUUUGCUUUGCUGGUGUUGAAUGUGGGAAAGAAAUUGGUUUAGUGAAAUUCAAAGAAGAACAGUAAUAAAACAUUUAAAAAGGCAGAUAAAUGAAAAAUGCAUAAAGAGUUGUAAACUAAUUGAGCACUUUUGUUACAACAGAUAUAGAUCAUAUAUAUGUAUAUAUACACAUAUCUUGAAAAAUAAACUAUUCAACAAAAGAAA